rnacentral:tRNA from 15 species
GGGGGAUUAGCUCAGCUGGGAGAGCACCUCCCUUACAAGGAGGGGGUCGGCGGUUCGAUCCCGUCAUCACCCACCA